rnacentral:rRNA from 1 species
UACAGAGGGGGCAAGCGUUGUUCGGAAUUACUGGGCGUAAAGGGCGCGUAGGCGGCCCGCUAAGUCGAACGUGAAAUCCCCGGGCUCAACCCGGGAACUGCGUCCGAUACUGGUGGGCUCGAAUCCGGGAGAGGGAUGCGGAAUUCCAGGUGUAGCGGUGAAAUGCGUAGAUAUCAGGAGGAACACCGGUGGCGAAGGCGGUUCUCUGGGCCGAUACUGACGCUGAGGAGCGAAAGCGUGGGGAGCGAACAGG